rnacentral:rRNA from 1 species
ACGGAAUAGAUACCCUGGUAGUCCAUGCCGUAAACUAUGGAUACUAGCUGUUGGGGGUAUCGACCCCUCCAGUAGCGAAAGCUAAACGCGUUAAGUAUCCCGCCUGUGGAGUACGAUCGCAAGAUUAAAACAUAAAGGAAUUGACGGGGACCCGCACAAGCGGUGGAGCGUGUUCUUUAAAUUCGAUGCUAAACGAAGAACCUUACCAGGGCUUGACAUCCCUUGAAUUACUCCGAAAGGAGUGAGUGCUUUAUUGAGCAAGGUGACAGGUGAUGCAUGGCCGUCGUCAGCUCGUGUCGUGAGAUGUUUGGUUAAGUCCAUCAACGAGCGCAACCCUUAUACUUAGUUGUA